CAUAGGUGUCCGCUACCAUGUAGGGCCCUUCCCAAUUCGAAGCUAGCUUCCCUUGGUCUAGAGGCUUCGAGACUUCUGCCUUUCUUAAGACUAGGUCCCCAGGCCUGAAGAGCUUUGGCCUGACCUUGGCGUUGUAAUAUCGGGCUACUUUGUGUCGGUAUGAGGCCACGCGAAGUUGAGCCUCAUCCCGAAGUUCGGGGAGGAGGUCU
rnacentral:lncRNA from 1 species